rnacentral:rRNA from 1 species
CCUACGGGAGGCAGCAGUGAGGAAUAUUGGUCAAUGGGCGCGAGCCUGACCCAGCCACGUAGCGUGAAGGAUGACUGCCCUACGGGUUGUAAACUUCUUUUAUAAAGGAGUAAAGUGAGGCACGUGUGCCUUUUUGUAUGUACUUUAUGAAUGAGGAUCGGCUAACUCCGUUCCAGCAGCCGCGGUAAUACGGAGGAUCCGAGCGUUAUCCGGAUUUAGUGGGUGUAAAGGGAGCGUAGAUGGGUUGGUAAGUCAGUUGUGAAAGUUUUCGGCUCAACCGUAAAAUUGCAAUUGAUACUGGCAGUCUUGAGUACAGGUGAGGUAGGCGGAAUUCGUGGUGUAGCGGUGAAAUGCGUAGAUAUCACGAAGAACUCCGAUUGCGAAGGCAGCUUACUAAACUGUCACUGACAUUGAUGCGCGAAAGUGUGGGUAUCAAACAGGAUUAGAUACCCUAGUAGUC